AUUGUGAACUCUAUCAAAAACUAAAAAUUUAUUAGUCUAAAUUCACAUUACAAAAUAAAGUUUUCACUUACCAGUAACAGCAUUCAGGAAACAUAAUCUUCUGCUAUAUGAAACACUUGUGCUGCACAAAAAUUAUUGGUAACUUGGAUGCUAAGAUUUUCAACCUUGAAGCACUGUAUAUGACCACUGACAGCCCACAUGGUAAGAAUUUCACCCUUGAUAUGACAAAUGACCAUUGGCAUGUACUGUCUACAGAUAAAGAUGAGGAGCCUACUUUUUCUUUUAUUUGAUUGAGCUGCUUGAAAAGCUUUUAUAGAAAAGACUAGUUUGCAAGAAUGCAUUUAGAGAUUCAAGCCAAAAUUCUUAACAAUCAUAAAGACGAAAUUGUUUAGGCUGUGUUAAUUCUUAACAAGCGGAUGAUUCAAGAAACUACACAUUCAACCAUCCAGAAGCCUCAGUGCCCAAAAGACCCUCACAACACCCAAAAUCAAAUUCUAUGGAGUGCAACAGUUAAAAUUAUAUGGAUUUACAUUACUUAGUCUUAUUGUUUUAUCUAAUAUUUUCUUAUCAAAAAUUUUUGUCCCUUUAAGACAGUGAUAUUGUGACAAUGACUUUGUCUUGAUGAGUUAAUAUUCAUGUUAUUAAGCCCAUAAUUCAGGAUUUAAGUCACAGGACUCUACCACCACUACAGGCAAGCUUCAUGGGCCUGGUUCUAACUAUUCAAUGCUAUCAUUCUCAACAUCUUUUCAUUAUCCUGCGCUACUAACUGAACAGAUUGUUGUCAUGACACAAAGCUUCAAAGAAUGAAAAAACAUAAAUAUCUGUUGAACAAACUUCAGUAUUGUUGUAAAGAAGGGGGGAAAUUUUCUACAAGGAUCUUUUACACUAUACUUGAAUUCCAAACAAAUAUCAGAUCUCUAAAUACAAUCAGAAGUCAGAACUCAAAUAUUAACCUAUGUGGUAUUUUGAAACUGUGGAAAAGAAAUAAACAAAUGCCAGAAUCUUUCCUAGUUUCUGAUACCACAGCAACAUACAAUUCCAUCCAGAACAGUUAGUGACCCGUCCCACGUAGGUUCUGCAGGGAGGUGUUUCCAAACCUCCCCGUGAGUUAGAUUUUGAGGUGGAGGUGAGUUAGUUUUUGAGGUGGAGGUAGACAAAUUCAUAUCAUUUGGUGCCAGAGCCUCACUUUGCAUGGGUCAAUGGACCAGGGCCAUGUACAAAGGUUCCCUGA
rnacentral:misc_RNA from 1 species